UGUGGCCUAACUCAAAGACUCUUAACCCGAAGCAAGGAAUAAAAUUUACAAAAUUAUUUUGUUCUUUUCGAUAAAUCGCAAAUAUUCUUUUUCCUCGCCUCCUCUUGUCGGCGAUACCUUAAGUCCGGCGAGCACCGUCGGCACUCUUUUUGCCGCCACCGCUAGUACAACUCCUCUUUCUCCAUCUACUAUGAAGCGUUUCUUAUCCACUAUUGAUUUUAGGUUAGGUAAUAAUGAGUUGUCUAGGAGGAGUGUAUAUAAUGUUAUUGCUCGAUAUCAGUCACAAGGCUCCAGCAUUGAGAAGAUGAAGGCUUCUGGUUCUGAUGACGGAAGAGAUGUAGCUAAAGUGGAAAAGAAAACAGGCUCUGAGUGGAACGUGGAACUUGAUUGGUUUAGUAAGACACUAGAACCAGCUUUGCAAAUGUUGAAGCGGGCUCUUCCAGCAGGAAAUGUGUUUGAAAACAAACCCCCACCAAGCAGUAGAACUGUUUCAGAGAUCAUCUCAAGCAUUCAACGAAGUAAAAUUGGAGUGCAGGAUUGGUGUUUUAGUGAUCUUACACUAGGUUUAUAUCUUUUAUACCUCCGCCAAGCAUCUACAGAGCCAUUUCAGGAUGUCAAGGGGGUGCAGAUUACAUGUGAUUCAACUGUUGAGGAUCUUAUAUAUCACACUGAACUUGCAAAAGGGGCUUACAAGGAUAGUGUAGCAAGCAUUGCAAAAAACACCAUGCUUCGUGAAAGCAAUGUACUGAAAUUUGUUAAAAACUCGAGUGUUUUGAGGCCAGGAUAUUAUAUUGGUGUUGACAUGCGUAAGAAACUUGUGAUCCUUGGAAUUCGUGGAACUCACACGGUCCAAGAUUUAAUUACUGACGUAGUUUCCUCAAGCCAUGAAGAAGUUUUAUCGGAAGGGUUUUCAACCCAUUUUGGCUCAGCUGAAGCAGCUGGUUGGUUUCUUAGUCACGAGCUGGGAACCGUUAAGAAGUGCCUUGAACAACAUCAGGGAUUUAGGUUAAGGUUAGUUGGUCAUUCACUUGGAGGUGCUACAGCUUCUUUACUAGCAAUAAUGAUGCGUCGAAAAUCAAGCAAGCAGCUGGGGUUCAGCCCUGACAGUAUAUCAGCUGUUGGAUAUGGCACUCCACCUUGCGUCUCCAGAGAGAUUGCAGAUGGAUGUUCUGAUUAUGUCAGAAAUGUUGUAAUGCAGGAUGACAUCAUUCCAAGACUAAGUGUAGCUUCUCUCACAAGGCUGAGGAAUGAAAUUCUUCAGACAGAUUGGAUGGGUGUUCUUGAAAAGGAAGACUGGCGAAGCGUUACUGAUUUGGUUACAAACGCAAAGCAGGUCGUUACUUCUGUUCAAGACGUUGCUCGGAAACUAGCAGAUUACGCUAAGUUGAGUAAUUCAAAGUUUCUGGAGAUUCCUGCUAGAAAGGAUUCACUUGGACUUCCCAGUGUCCCGGCAACUGCAGUAUCCUCAGAAACAGUUCCAGUUCUGAAGAAGAAGGAAGAUGUUAGUAAAGUACCUGAUGAGUUGUUUGUACCAGGUACUGUCUACUGCCUAAAAAGGCAUGUUGAUACAGACACUAGUACAAUCCAUGGAAAAGCAGCGGAUUACUUCACACUCUGGAAAAGACAUCCAGGUGAACAUUUUCAGAAAAUUCUGCUGUCAAGCAACAUACUAUCAGACCACAAGUGCGAUAACCAUUAUUAUGCUUUACGAGAUGUACUUAAAGGAUUGCCCGGGUCUAGAUGAUGAAGUCCUGCUUGCAGGAAUCGGGUAAAAUUAGGUUUUUGCUGUUCUCUAACCGGUGGUUGAGCCUGCAUUCGUGUUCAGUGUUUGCAUAUGCGAGCUGACUCUGUAUAGGAUGUUGAAGUGGAUUCUUUGUCCUCCCUCUGUUUCGUCGACUCUGGAACACAACCAGGAGGGAGCUUUAUCCCAUGGCUUCUCCCAAACAUAUAAGCGUGGCUUCUGUCAUUACAAAUCCUAAUCAAUGGAGCCUUGAUCUUGAUUUGACAGCCUCAUUUUGUCCUCAACAAAGCAAUUCCAUAUGUACUAUAUUUAUAAUCAGUCAUCCCUAUAUCAAGGUAGAGUUCUUCUCCGCUGAUUCUUGAAAACGAAGUUUACGUCAAACUUCUAACUAUUACGUUACAAAUAUAAUCGGUGAUUCUGUCCCUACAGAACUCUUGAUUUAACAUAUAGUUCGAAACUUGUUCAUUCUAGUACCCGAGACGAUGCUUAACUAUAGACUAGGACGGGUUUAGUUAAGCACCAGACGUGUAUUCGUGUCUUUUGUUUUUGAUAUUUUUUCAUAAUUUUGAAUUAUCAUAUUAUAGAAAAAUUCUUCAAAUUCUGAAAAUAUUUUAA